rnacentral:lncRNA from 1 species
UGUUGGGUUAAUAGUUAUUGGGUUUGUUGCCUCUAAAGAAUGCAUCCACCUAACCUUGGACAUCCUAGUCAACUGUUUUUAACAUGUUGUUAAUAUUAUUAAGUGCAUGAAAAUAUGAAAAGUUGAAAUAUGUUGUGCUAUUGCAGAUUAUGCAGUGAUAUAUAUAUAGUACAUGAAAUGGACAUUAGAUGACUCAAGCUGGCCUAGUUAGCCAGGCUUAUCUUCAGUGUCUUGGUUUGCCAAUAUCCUGACUCAUAUGAUAACAAUUUCUAUUCUGGCAAGGCAGGCUUGUCUGGCUCAUAUGAACAGGGCCUAAGAUGAUGCAUCUUAACAUCAUAUACUAGGCAUACGAAUAUCAUACUGGCAGAUAAUUGACUGAAAGCCUUUUUUCAUUAUUGUGUAUUUCUACCAUUUAGUAUUAGCACUUGUUUCUGACUUUCUGUUUAUAGUGUGAUGUAUAUAUUAAUUAAAUAAUAUGAAAUUGUAUGAAAUGUAUAUAAUGAAUGAUUAGGGAUCACCGG